GUGGGGAAUAUUGGACAAUGGGCGAAAGCCUGACGCAGCCAUGUCGCGUGAAUGAUGAAGGUCUUAGGAUUGUAAAAUUCUUUCACCGGGGACGAUAAUGACGGUACCCGGAGAAGAAGCCCCGGCUAACUUCGUGCCAGCAGCCGCGGUAAUACGAAGGGGGCUAGCGUUGCUCGGAAUUACUGGGCGUAAAGGGAGCGUAGGCGGACAGUUUAGUCAGAGGUGAAAGCCCAGGGCUCAACCUUGGAAUUGCCUUUGAUACUGGCUGUCUUGAGUUUGGGAGAGGUGUGUGGAACUCCGAGUGUAGAGGUGAAAUUCGUAGAUAUUCGGAAGAACACCAGUGGCGAAGGCGACACACUGGCCCAAUACUGACGCUGAGGCUCGAAAGCGUGGGGAGCAAACAGGAUUAGAUACCCGAGUAGUCC
rnacentral:rRNA from 1 species